GAUGAACGCUGGCGGCGUGCCUAAUACAUGCAAGUCGAGCGAACGGACGAGAAGCUUGCUUCUCUGAUGUUAGCGGCGGACGGGUGAGUAACACGUGGAUAACCUACCUAUAAGACUGGGAUAACUUCGGGAAACCGGAGCUAAUACCGGAUAAUAUUUUGAACCGCAUGGUUCAAAAGUGAAAGACGGUCUUGCUGUCACUUAUAGAUGGAUCCGCGCUGCAUUAGCUAGUUGGUAAGGUAACGGCUUACCAAGGCAACGAUGCAUAGCCGACCUGAGAGGGUGAUCGGCCACACUGGAACUGAGACACGGUCCAGACUCCUACGGGAGGCAGCAGUGGGGAAUCUUCCACAAUGGGCGAAAGCCUGACGGAGCAACGCCGCGUGAGUGAUGAAGGUCUUCGGAUCGUAAAACUCUGUUAUUAGGAAAGAACAGAUGUGGAAGUAACUGUGCACAUCUUGACGGUACCUAAUGAAAAAGCCACGGCUAACUACGUG
rnacentral:rRNA from 1 species